CCCUUAGAUGUUCUGGGCUGCACGCGUGCUACAAUGGCGCUUGUAACAAGUCUUGCCAACCCGAUAGGGUGAGCGGAUCUUUGAAGAGGCGUCGUGAUCGGGACAGUUGAUUGCAAUUAUUCGACUCGAACGAGGAAUUCCUUGUAAUCGCGAUUCAUCAUAUCGCGCUGAAUACGUCCCUGCCCUUUGUACACACCGCCCGUCGCUCCUACCGAUUGAGCGAUCCGGUGAAUGUUUUGGACUGGCGUCAGAAGCGGUUCGCUCCUGACACUACGAAAUUUUGUAAACCUUAUCGCUUAGAGGAAGGAAAAGUCGUAACA
rnacentral:rRNA from 1 species